rnacentral:rRNA from 1 species
UACGGGGGGGGGCAAGCGUUGUUCGGAAUUACUGGGCGUAAAGGGCUCGUAGGUGGCCAACUAAGUCAGACGUGAAACCCCUCGGCUUAACCGGGGAACUGCGUCUGAUACUGGAUGGCUUGAGUUUGGGAGAGGGACGCGGAAUUCCAGGUGUAGCGGUGAAAUGCGUAGAUAUCUGGAGGAACACCGGUGGCGAAGGCGGGUCUCUGGACAGUUCCUGACACUGAGACACGAAGGCCAGGGGAGCAAACGGG